rnacentral:rRNA from 1 species
CUAAGAAUAUUCCGCAAUGGACGGAAGUCUGACGGAGCGACGCCGCGUGGAUGACGAAGGCCGAAAGGUUGUAAAGUUCUUUUGCUGGGGAAGAAUAACCGCAGGAGGGAAUGCCUGUGGGGUGACAAGAACCGGCGAAUAAGCCCCGGCCAACUACGUGCCAGCAGCCGCGGUAACACGUAGGGGGCGAGCGUUGUUCGGAAUUACUGGGCGUAAAGGGCAUGUAGGCGGCUUGGAAAGCCUGGCGUGAAAGUCUGCAGCUUAACUGCAGGGGUGCGCUGGGAACUGCUGAGCUUGAGUGACGGAGAGGGAGCUGGAAUUCCUGGUGUAGGGGUGAAAUCUGUAGAUAUCAGGAAGAACACCGAUGGCGAAGGCAAGCUCCUGGCCGAUGACUGACGCUGAGGUGCGAAAGUGUGGGGAUCAAACA